rnacentral:rRNA from 1 species
CCGGAUGAAGGCUGGCGGUGCCCUAAUACAUGCAAGUCGAACGAGAAACUGGAUUUAUUCAGUGGAAAGUGGCGGACGAGCGAGUAACACGUAAGUAGUUGCCUUGUACUCAGGGAUAACUAGUCGAAAGAUUAGCUAAUACCGGAUGGUCCCGAAAGGGUAAAGAUUUAUCGGUACAAGAGACGCUUGCGGCCUAUCAGCUAGUUGGUGAGGUAAAGGCUUACCAAGGCGAUGACGGGUACCUGGUGUGAGAGCAUGACCAGGCGCGAUGGGACUGAGACACGGCCCAUACUCCUACGGGAGGCAGCAGUAGAGAAUCUUCCGCAAUGGACGAAAGUCUGACGGAGCGACACCGCGUGGUGGAUGAAGCUUUUCGGAGUGUAAACACCUUUUAUGAGGGAAGAAAAUCUGACGGUACCUCAUGAAUAAGGACCGGCUAAUUACGUGCCAGCAGCCGCGGUAAUACGUAAGGUCCAAGCGUUAACCGGAAUUAUUGGGCGUAAAGCGUCCGCAGGCGGUUUGCCAAGUUGAUUAUUAAAUACCGACGCUCAACGUCGGUGCUGUAGUCAAAACUGGUAAACUAGAGAUAUGGAGAGGUGCGUGGAAUUGUGCAAGUAGGGGUAAAAUCCGUAGAUAUGCACAGGAACACCAAAAGCGAAGGCAGCAUACUGGACCAUUUCUGACGCUCAGGGACGAAAGCGUAGGUAGCAAAAGGGAUUAGAUACCCCUGUAGUCUACGCCGUAAACGAUGCAUGCUCGGUGUAGGGACCCUCGACCUGGUCUCUGUGCCCAAGGUAACCCGUUAAGCAUGCCGCCUGUGUAGUACGAUCGCAAGAUUAAAACACAAAGGAAUAGACGGGGACCCACACAAGCGGUGGAUUAUGGGGUUUAAUUCGUCAAUAAGCGAGUAACCUUACCCAGACUUGACAUCCUAUUCGUACCUUUUAGAAAUAAUUGGGUCGGUUCGGCCGGAAUAGUGACAGGCGUUGCAUGGUUGUCGUCAGCUCGUGCCUUGAGGUGUUCGGUUAAGUCCGUUAACGAGCGCAACCCUCGUCGUAUGUUGUAUUUUCAUGCGAGACUGCCCAUCAUAAAUGGGAGGAAGGUGAGGAUGACGUCAAAUCAGCAUGACCCUUAUGUCUGGGGCUACACCCGUGAUACAAUGGUUGGUACAAACUGAAGCGAAGCAGCGAUGCGGAGCAAAUCGGAUAAACCAAUCUCAGUUCGGAUUGAAGUCUGAAACUCGACUUCAUGAAGUUGGAAUCGCUAGUAAAUGUAUAUCAGUCAUGGUACAUUGAUAUGUUCCUGGUCUUGCACACACCG